rnacentral:rRNA from 1 species
GUGCGUAACGCGUGUACAAUCUACCUUUUACUGGGGAAUAGCCCGAAGAAAUUUGGAUUAAUGCCCCAUAGUAUAGMACUGUGGCAUCACAGAGUUAUUAAAGCUUCGGUGGUAAGAGAUGAGUACGCGUUCUAUUAGUUAGUUGGUGAGGUAACGGCUCACCAAGGCWRYGAUAGAUAGGGGUUCUGAGAGGGAUGUCCCCCACACUGGUACUGAGAUACGGACCAGACUCCUACGGGAGGCAGCAGUGAGGAAUAUUGGUCAAUGGUCGGAAGACUGAACCAGCCAUGCCGCGUGCAGGAUGACGGCCUUAUGGGUUGUAAACUGCU